rnacentral:lncRNA from 1 species
UGGGGAAAAAGGAUCAUCUGGGUCAUCUGAUAAUUACCGGAUAAUCGAUUCAUCAUGAUGAACUAUUUAUAUUUCAGAAGUUGAACCAUCUUCAGAGGUAUGAAAAACUAGUUUCAUAUUACUCUAUUAAAGCUACAAUAAUAUGAAACUAGUUUUCGAAUUUAAUAUGAAGAGCCUGAAACUAAAUAAAACUACAUUCAAAGCGCUCCUAGCGCACAACACAUAUCAAUCUGAAUUAGGGUGCUAUAUAUUUUAAAAUAUAUAAAGAAAUUACAUUUUUCUUUACUCAAAAGAUUACAAUUAAAACUGUAUGGUAAACUUAAAUUUCCGCAAUUUUGGGGGGUACUACCUCUCCCACGUUUGAGAGUCUCCGCACCAAGAAAUACAACUUUUUAGUAUUAUAGUUGUUUGCGGUAAAAAGAGGUAAAUUUGCAAAUUUACAGUUACAACUUUUAAAAGUCGCUUUUCACGUUGUUUGAAUUGUCCAGAAUCUUUCACGAGGGCAGACAGUACCCCCAAAAUGGCGGAUUUUGGCCUUCGUGAGAAAGGCUAAUUAACCAGUUACAAUAUAGUACAAAAGCAAUGCCAGUGAUCUCGAUUUAUUAUGUGUUGAAAUAUUUAUGGUACAGCAACUAGGACUUUUCUAUCGUUGAUAUUCUUGAAAAGGUCACAUUAAUUCACAGUUGGUUUGCAACGAUUUUGACGCAUUAAUUUGGAUAAAUAAUAAAUCUGAAAUUUUAUUUUAUUUAAUGAUGCUUUGUCAUCAAUUGUUGCACGAUUGUUUUAAUUUGGACAACCUCAGAAAUCAGGAAGUCAUGCAAUUUGCACCGCAGCAAAAUUAAUUUGUGGACAUCUUCGUUCACAGGGCUUCUCGAGAAACCUUAUGAACGAAUACUAUUAAAAACAGAAUUACACACAAUGACAUUUCCAGCACAAGCAGCCAAGCAAUGAACAAUAUAAAAUAUAAAGCAAAAUUGAACGAGUGACGGUUUCAUUAUUGAAAUUAAUCGAAAAACAUUGUCGGUUAGUAUAAGAUUACCCUUCUUUGAUUCCAUAUAUACCACAACACUCCCGAACACUUGACUUCAAGUUUAAUCGGAUGAUUUUUAUUCUUUUUAGAGGUUGUUUCUAGAGAGCUAACCGAAGAGAAGCGCCAGUAUAGAUAAGUUUGUUAAUGUUAAUGAUGUUAAUGUACUAGAAAUACGUGAAGGGAUCUGUCUUUUUCACAUACCAAAACGGUGGGACAACAUUUCUUUGGGUUGCCAGUAACGUUAAUGUUCUUUUCUUUGACAUUGUCAGAGACUGGAGUGUUUUUAUCUUGGUUACAUAGAAAGUUUGCCAAGACUUUUGCACUUCGAUAUCUUGGUUAUGUUUAUGAAUUAUGUCCGUUGUCAAUCCGACUUUGAAGUUUAUUUCAGUUCUCCCUGUUUAUCUCAGCUUCACAGCUCCACCUAGCCAUAUCUGUACUCGUUUCGUAAUACGUUAAAUAUACGUGGAAAAUGAUACAACGUACACUUUGUUGAGUAUGGAUACAAGGUUUAUACCAAUAUAUACCAGUACUGUUGAUCUGUUGGCUGUUUCACAGUUCAUAUUGCCUCGAAACUCUUGUUGUAGCUUUUGGAACACAAGCGAUAUUUUGGUUAAAAUUUUUGGGAUAGUAUAGUCCACGAUAAUGGUUAGUUCAACUGUCAAUUAAUGUCAAUCCAAAAUGACAAAGCCAGACAUUGUUUGUAAUGCAUUUUAAUUGAUUACCAAAUGAAUGUUAGGCAUUAUGAAGUUCUUUUCCAUCAGUUCUUCUGCAGUUUGGCAAUUUGUGCAUUCAUCUCUCACUCCGGCACAGAUAUUUUUGGGCGUAGGCAAAUUUUCUUGCUUUUUUCCCCAUGCUUCUUAUCAUAUUUCAAAGAAACGGUAUAUUCUUUGCCACAUCCAAAAAUACACUUGAGAAGGACUGGUUACUCACGACAGAAGGAUUGAACGGUGUGAAUAUAUCAGAUAUCUUCACUUCUAUGCACUAAGAUUUUACACUGUUCAUACCAAGACCAAGUGUUUCUUGGCCACUAAAGAUAUCAUGUCCACCGUGGCAUUGGUAAGUAGGGAUAAGAAAGACCAGGAAACAACGUCAAGACAGACGUUAAGAAAACAACAUCAAUAUAUUGCAAAGGAUAGACCUAGAGAAGGAUUCGGUCGACUGACUCUGGAUGAUUAAGGUUCAAGGCGAAAAGAAGAAUUAAGAUCAAGUGUUUGGCAGAAUGUUGUGAUUAAGAUUAAUGAUAAAAUUAACUGGCAACUGAUGAGAAAAAGUGUUUAUCACAAGCUGAAUUAUGUUCAUCACUUGGGGCUUUUGCUGGGAAAUAGAUUGUUUGAAAUUAAUUUUUGCCCAAAUAAAAAUUUUGGUAAACCGUGAAAUAUGGCAACAAAUUUAAAGCUUUUGGAAGAGAAGACAAUUAUUAAAUUUAUAUUUUGUGGUAUAAAUCCCGCAUGUGGUGCAGCACGUCUUUCAACACAUUAUCAUCGGAUCACUGGUUAUAUUUAUCAUUUUUCUUAUGAUCUAAACUACUUGAUUCUAUUUUAGUAAACGUUUGAAUGUAAAGUUACAAUACCUACUAUUCUAACUACAAUUGUG